CCCAGCGCCUCGGGCUGAGUGAGGGAGGAGGUUCGGUGGAGAGGCUGCAAGUGGGCGAGGGCGGGGCGCAGCGACCUCAUUUGAGCCGGUCGGUGGACGCCCCGGCGGAACCGCCCAGCGUUCCUGUCCUGCGCUACCUGCCCGAACGCGCCUGCGCGCUGCGAACCCCGCCCUGGUGUCACCUGUUGGAGCCCCCCGCCCGCGUAGCCGUGCACAUGCGCACUGCCGGCCGCCGGCCAGUGGGGUCACGUGUUGCGCGCGAGCCACCUCCCCUGCCGGCGCUUCCUGUCGCUACCGCUGCGGCCCAGGGCCCGCGGGAGCCCAGGGCGGUGCCGUGUGAGACAAGGCCAGGGUUUGGCUCGGAUUCACCGCGAGGUAUCUAGGCUGCUAUGAUGCCAGGGCCAAGACCUCGGAAGGGCCCUCAGGCCAGAGGCCAAGGGGUGGCCGCUGCCAAGCAGAUGGGGCUCUUUAUGGAGUUUGGCCCUGAGGACAUGCUGCUGGGCAUGGAUGAGGCUGAAGAUGAUGAGGACCUGGAGGCUGAGCUGCUGGCUCUCACAGGGGAAGCACAAACCACAGGCAAGAAGCCAGCACCCAAGGGGCAGGCCCCCCUGCCCAUGGCCCACAUCGAGAAGUUGGCGGCAGACUGUAUGCGGGAUGUGGAGGAGGAGGAGGAGGAAGGGCUGGAGGAAGAUGCAGAGCUGCUGACGGAGCUGCAGGAGGUCUUAGGUGUGGACGAGGAGACUGAGCCCCUGGAUGAUGAUGAGGUAGCUGACCCAGGCGGCUCUGAGAAGGAGAACGGCCUAGAAGACACUGAACCUCCAGUGCAGACAGCCAUCCUGACAGCUUCAGCCCCAGCAGCUCAGGCCGGAGCAUCUCAGGGGCUACACGCUUUGCUGGAGGAACGGAUCCACAACUACAGAGAGGCUGCGGCCAGUGCCAAGGAGGCAGGCGAAGCAGCCAAAGCCAGGCGCUGCGAGCGUGGCCUGAAGACCUUGGAGUCGCAGCUAGCCUCUGUGAGGAGAGGCAGAAAGAUCAAUGAGGAUGAGAUCCCACCUCCAGUGGCCUUAGGAAAGCGGCCCCUGGCCCCCCAGGAACCAGCCAACAGGAGCCCUGAGGCAGACCCUCCAGCUCCCCCUGCCUUGGAGUCAGACAACCCCUCCCAACCUGAGACCAGCCUCCCUGGCGUUUCUGCCCAGCCCGUUUCAGACUCAGACCCAGACCCGCGGGCCCUGCUGUCAUCCCGACAGAGAGAGUACAAAGCGGCUGCCCUCAGUGCCAAGCGGGCUGGAGAGCUAGACCGUGCCCGAGAGCUCAUGAGGAUUGGGAAGAGAUUUGGUGCUGUCCUGGAGGCCCUGGAGAAGGGGCAGCCUGUGGAUCUGAGUGCCAUGCCCCCGGCACCUGAGGAUCUGAAGCCCCGGCAGGCUUCUCAGGCCGCCACAGCACCCUCAGUCAUUCCCCCAGCCGUGGAGCGAAUGCAGCCAGUGAUGGCCCCUGAAGUCCCAGCAACCCCAGUGGCCCCUACAGAGUCACAGACAGUGCUGGAUGCCCUGCAGCAGAGGCUGAACAAGUACCGUGAGGCGGGCAUCCAGGCCCGGAGUGGUGGGGACGAGCGCAAGGCUCGGAUGCAUGAGCGCAUUGCCAAGCAAUAUCAAGAUGCUAUUCGAGCACACCGAGCAGGACGGAAAGUCAACUUUGCUGAGUUGCCUGUUCCUCCGGGAUUUCCCCCCAUCCCUGGCCUGGAGCCCCCUAUGGGUGUUGAGGAGGACGCAGUGGCAGCGACAUUGGCAGCUGCAGAGAAACUGGCUUCCGCAGAGGAUACAGCCCCAGCUCAUGAAGACGAGGACGAGCCUCCUGGGCACCUGCAGGGUGAGCCCCCAGCACAGGCCCCAGUGGCCAAGAAACCUGCACGGCCUACAGUCCCUUCAUCCCAGCGCCUGCCUGAGCCCAGGGCCUCAAGUUCUAAGGAGUCACCGAGUCCAUCUGUGCGGGAGCAGCUGGCACUGCUGGAGGCACGGAAACUGCAGUACCAACGGGCAGCCCUGCAGGCCAAGCGCAGCCAGGACCUGGAGCAGGCCAAAGCCCAUCUGCGGGUGGCCAAAUGUCUUGAGGCUCAGAUCAUCCAGGCCCGAUCUGGCAGACCUGUUGAUCUGUCCAAGGUGCCUUCACCCUUGACGGAUGAGGAGGGUGACUUCAUCCUCAUCCACCACGAGGACCUGCGACUCUCCCAGAAGGCGGAAGAGGUGUAUGCCCAGCUGCAAAAAAUGCUUCUGGAGCAACAAGAGAAGUGUCUGCUGUUCUCCAAGCAGUUCAUGCACCAGGGCAACGUGGCUGAGACCACCCGAUUUGAGAAGCUUGCUCAGGACUGCAAGAAACAGCUGGAGAUCCUGCAGCUGGCCCAGGCUCAGGGCCUUGACCCUCCCAGCCACCACUUUGAGUUGAAGACAUUCCAGACCGUGAGGAUCUUCUCAGAACUCAACAGCACAGAAAUGCAUCUGAUCAUUGUCCGGGGAAUGAACCUCCCAGCCCCUCCAGGGGUGACUCCCGAUGACCUGGAUGCUUUUGUGCGGUUUGAGUUUCACUACCCUAACUCGGACCAGGCUCAAAAAAGCAAAACAGCUGUGGUGAAGAACACAAACUCUCCAGAAUUUGAUCAACUCUUCAAACUAAACAUCAACCGAAACCACCGGGGCUUCAAGAGGGUGAUCCAGAGCAAAGGCAUCAAGUUUGAGAUCUUCCACAAAGGGUCCUUCUUCAGAAGCGACAAGCUGGUUGGCACAGCACACCUGAAACUGGAGCGGCUGGAGAAUGAGUGUGAGAUCAGAGAAAUUGUGGAGGUCCUGGAUGGAAGGAAGCCCACCGGGGGGAAGCUGGAGGUGAAGGUGAGGCUGCGGGAGCCUCUGAGUGGCCAGGAUGUGCAGAUGGUCACUGAGAACUGGCUGGUUCUGGAGCCCAGGGGCUUGUGAGGCGGAUCUCCAGCAAUCCUGAACUCAGCUCUGCUCUCCAUAUGACAUUUACACUGAGUUGCCCUUCCGAAACUAGAAGAGUAGAUUAAGCCCUUGAGUCUUCGAUUCACUUCUGUGAAUAAUCUGAAUAUAAAAGAUGAGUUCCAUGACAACAGGGCCCUCACUAAGCUGGCAGGCCCCUCCAUGGAUCACCGGCACCAAGGCGCUGUCCAGAUCAUUCAUGUACUGCGAGGGAAGGGGCUGGCCAUUGCUCCCUGCUUGAUAGCCAACCUAUACCACAGAGAGAAAAGGAGGAGAGGUUACUGAACAGAGAAGGCCUCUCCAGGGCUGAGGGCAAGGAGGCUGAGCAGGAAAAGGAGAUGUCCUUUUUGGCCAUAGGCUAGACAUAUGGCAAUGAAUACAAAUUUAUCCUCUUUUCUGGAUUGUCACUUAUCCUGUUGUUGACUCCUCCUGACCGACAACCAUGAGGCACUGGACCUCUUGGGGAAGAAGAGAAUAAACUUUCUGUAUCUAUAUGAUAUGUACAUUCAAAAAAAGGUCACUGCCCUGCUCCUCUCAUUCCCAGGUGAGCCUCUAAUACAGCUUUCAAGUUAAGGAGCAAAUUAAUACAGUGGGGAAAGAGCUUAGGAGUUGGCCAGAUCUGGGUUUUAAUCAGGAUUUUAUCAUUAUUUAUUUGCCUUGUAAUCUUGAGCAAGUUAAUCAGUCUCUGACCUUUAGUUUUGUUUGUUUGUUUGUUUUUGGAGACGGAGUUUCGCUCUUGUUGCCCAGGCUGGAGUUCAAUGGCAUGAUCUCGGCUCACCACAACCUCCACCUCCCAGGUUCAAGCAAUUCUCCGACCUCAGCCUCCUGAGUAGCUGGGAUUACAGGCAUGCGCCACCACGCCCGGUUAAUUUUGUAUUUUUAGUAGAGACGGGGUUUCUCCAUGUUGGUGGGGCUGGUCUCAAACUCCAGAUCUCAGGUGAUCUGCUCAUCUUGGCCAUCUUGGCCUCCCAAAGUGCUGGGAUUACAGGCGUGAGCCACCGCGCCCAGCCUAGUUUUUUUUUUUUUUGAGACAGAGUCUUGCUCUGUUGCCCAGGCUGGAUGGAGUGCAGUGGCGUGAUCUCGGCCCACUGUAACCUCUGCCUCCCGGGUUCAAGUGAUUCCCAUGCCUCAAGCCUCUCAAGCAGCUGGGACUACAGGCGUGCACCACCACGCCUUGGCUAAUUUUUGUAUUUUUAGUGGGUAUGGGGUUUCACCAUGUCACCCAGGCUGGUCUUGAAUUCCUGACCUCAAGUGAUCCACCUACCUCAGCCUCCCAAAAUGCUGGGAUUACAGGUGUGAGCCACUGUGCCUGGCCUAGUUUUCUUAUUAGUGAAAUAAGUCUAUUUUUUAAAGACUGUCGUGUUAUCUAAGAUAAUUAUAAGUGCAGAAUAACUGACCCAGCUUUCUGAAGAAUACAGCAAAGAUGGAAUGUACCACUCAGAGAUCUACUCUUCUUGAGUUCCAAUGCAAAGAAAUAUCUAACAGUUAGUUCACAGGAAGGAGGAUACAUCAGACGGCUGCAGGCUGCAACUGGCAGCAUUUCUUCCUGGUGAUUUCAGAUAGGAAUUGGAGUAUAAACGAGAAAGAUUUUUCUCAGAGAUAUUUUUUUCUUAUCCUACAGAGUCAACCCAGAAUGUGGCUCUUGGCCUAGCAAAAAGUUGUGUUCAAAGUGGGUCAAGAAUGCCAAGUUUCAUUUCCUUACCUCUGUCCAUCUGAUGACUUUUCCAUUUGCUUUAUAUUCUGAUCCAUGGAAUAUCUUCACAUUUGUUAUAGUCUCCAUAGACUUCCCAUCUAUAGGACUUACGACACUAAAAUAGAGGGAAAGGGAAGAUAGAAGCAGCUCUUGAAGUUAGAAAAGCCAUUUUUCCUAUCACGUUUUGCUGCAGAAGUCUUCCUGCUAAUUACACUGGGUACCCUGCUGAACACACCUGUGCAGCACAUCAAAGCAAGAAGAAGCCACUGUAUAAAAAUGUACAUGAACUGAGCUCUUGGGAAAGAAUCUAUGCACUGAAAUAAUUCAAAGAACACACGUGCAAAAAAGGAAUCAUUUUUCCAGGAGCUAGUUCUCUUUAACGUAAAGAAAUUGAUUAAUCAAACCUGCUCUUCUUCCAGUAUUCCUUCUUUCAGAGAAUGCAUGGUCACCCACUCAAUCUGGUUUUCACUCUGCUCCUGACUCUGUAAUGAUACUCGUCAUGAUAUAUUCUUCAUGUUUGCAUACCUAACUUACAAAUGAAGUUCUGAAGAGGAGGGAAGUUCUGAAGAGGAGGGAACUUCAGAACUCUAUGUGCUUAUAUUCCCAUUACUGACCCACCGCUUGGGACUUAGGAGUCUAAUAAUAUUUAUUAAGAAUAAUUUGCUGGGCAUGGUGGCUCAUGCCUGUAAUCCCAGCACUUUGGGAGGCCGAGGUGGGUGGACUGUCUGAGCUCAGGAGUUCGAGACCAGCAUCAGCAACAUAGCAAAACCCCACCUCUACUAAAAACACAGAAAAUUAGCCAGGCAGUAGUGGUACAAGCCUGUAAUCCCAGCUACUGGGUAGGCUGAGGCAUGAGAAUCGCCUUGAACCUGGGAGGCGGAGGUUGCAGUGAGCUGCGAUCGCACCACUGUACUCCAGCCUGUGUUACAGAGCAAGACUCUGCCUCCAAAAAAAAAAAAAGGAAUUAUCUGACCAAGUUGCUAAUUAUGACAGUGCUGGUGUAAACAAGUAUCUAUGUAUCUGUCAUAUUCCCUUUAGUGCUAAAUUAUCACUCCUAGAUUCCUAAACAAAAAGGCCACUUCUGAUAGUCAUUUCCUCCCUGAAAUACAACAAGUAUAAACACAUGGAGAUACACAUUCAUUCUGAUUAGGAUUCAAAAUAAUUGGCACAAAGAUUCUAAACUUUCCCUAACAAUUUUCAAACCUGUUUAUGUUCUUGAAUCUCUAUUUUUUUUUUUUUUUCUUGAGACAGAGUUUCGCUCUUGUUGCCCAGGCCAGAAUGCAGUGACAUGAUCUCGGCUCACCAAAACCUCCGCCUCCCGAUUCAAGUGAUGGUGAAGUCCUUCAUCUCUCGCAGUGCCUGCCUCAAGGAAUCCAUGUUCUCUGCAGUAAUCUGGACCAUAACACCAUCUAAGAAUCAGUACAAAGCCAAAGGAGAGGCAAAUGAAACACAGCACCUGGCAUCUAGCAAAUCCCUCUGAGUUAAAUGUAAACCUUAGCUCUGCUUUCCAAAGCUGACUGAUACAGAGGUUUUGCUCUUUGAGCUGAACCUCUUACUGAAAGUGUUGUGAGAAGCAACGCCAAGAUUAAAACACUUGCUUGUUGAUUUCACUUCAGACACAACUAAGAAUUUCUCCUGAGACUGCUUAAGGGGAGAACUUAAACACAGUCACAUUCUUCUUCUGGACACACUGAACAUUUUGUUCCUAUUUUCACCCCUGCAUUUAUCAUCCUCUGAUCAUAUUUAUUUGUUUGCAUCUCCACCUCUCUCACCUUAUUAUGACUGCCUGGCAUAGAGUGAAUGCCCAAUAAAUGUUUGCUAAAUAAAUCACUGAAUAAAUUAUA